rnacentral:lncRNA from 1 species
AUGUGUCAUCUUAUUGUUGUAAUGUACUCUCCUAAGCACUUAGUACAGUUGUUUGGACACAGUAAGUGCUCAAUCAAUACAACUGAAGGAAUGAAUGAGAGAAUGAAUGAAACACCCUCCGAUCCAGCUUUCACAGCGAGGUUUCCCUCUCUCAGAACGCUGCUUCCAGUACAUCCUUUACGAGCUCCGUGGGAUCUAGGCCGAAGACGAUUUCCAGGACUUGGCCUAGAAUCUUACAGAACGCCAGGUCAGGGACCUUACCCAGCAGGCCCUGGUCGGUUUGAAGAGCUCCAGCCUGGCCAGGGUGACCCACGCAGUCAUGGUCCUCCCCGUCCUGCUGCAGAAGCCCGGGGCCACAGCCGAUCAGACAGGCCCUGGAAGUUUGAAGAGCCUUGGGAGCCAACGCCCAUCUGGUCUCCCACGUGCUCGGGAUGCUGACGUUUCGGAUACUGGAGAGAUCGUCAGCGGGAGUCAGCGACCGUGCUGCCUGGGACAGGCACAGCCUGGAGUCCAUCGCGGUGAGUCCCCGGCCCGGCCCCAGAGGGAGGGGGCGAGGAGCAGGGCUGAGCUGGAGCAGAGGGUCCCUUCCCUUGUGGCCCCUCAGCCCGAACCCUGCCCCUGUGCCCCUGUGCCUCCAUCGCUUAGUUCUCUGGCUGGGCGGUGAAGUGGCUUCUGGGAUCGAUGGGAAGAGUGUCCUCCCAUGAACCGGGGGUUCUGGAGGCCUGGGCCACGGGAUCGAACCUCGACCUGGUCUCUGCCCUUCCCUGCCUAUGAUCUCGGGCUCCAGAGGGACCUUGGGUUCAGGUCAGAGGGGACAGUGGAAUAAAACCAGCGACUCCUCCGAGAGCAAGCUGGGUGGCAUGGAGGAGCUCCAGGCUGAGGCCGCGCGUACUCCCCACAGGCCACCAACGUCGAGUAUGAGCUCCUGUUUU